rnacentral:tRNA from 4 species
GCCCGGGUGGUGAAAUUGGCAGACACGCUAGACUUAGGAUCUAGUGCCAUUGGUGUGUAGGUUCGAGUCCUAUCCCGGGCACCA